CAACUACUCCCUCUGUCCCAAAUUUCUUGUCUUAGAUUUGUCUAUAUACGGAUGUAUCUAAUACUAAAAUGUGACUUGAUACAUCCGUAUCUAGACAAAUCUAAGACAAGAAUUUUGGAACGGAGGGAGUACUUU
rnacentral:pre_miRNA from 1 species